UACGUAGGUGGCAAGCGUUAUCCGGAAUUAUUGGGCGUAAAGCGCGCGCAGGUGGUUUCUUAAGUCUGAUGUGAAAGCCCACGGCUCAACCGUGGAGGGUCAUUGGAAACUGGGAGACUUGAGUGCAGAAGAGGAAAGUGGAAUUCCAUGUGUAGCGGUGAAAUGCGUAGAGAUCGGGAGGAACACCAGAGGCGAAGGCGGCGACCUGGACAGGCACUGACACUCAACUACGAAAGCGUGGGGAGCAAACAGG
rnacentral:rRNA from 1 species